UAAACGAGGGCUUAACUGUCUCCCCUUUCCAGUCAGUGAAAUUGAUCUACCCGUGCAGAAGCGGGUAUAAUAAUACAAGACGAGAAGACCCUUUGGAGCUUAAGGUACAAAACUCAACCACGUCAAGCAACUCAAUAAAAAGCAAAAACUUUGUGAAACAUGAGAUUUUACCUUCGGUUGGGGCGACCACGGAGGAAAACAAAGCCUCCAAGUGGACUGGGAAAACCUCCUAAAACCAAGAGAGACAUCUCUAAGCCACAGAACAUCUGACCAAACAUGAUCCGGCCACCCAAAGCCGAUCAACGAACCAAGUUACCCUAGGGAUAACAGCGCAAUCCUCUCCCAGAGUCCAUAUCGACGAGAGGGUUUACGACCUCGAUGUUGGAUCAGGACAUCCUAAUGGU
rnacentral:rRNA from 1 species